rnacentral:piRNA from 1 species
UAAAAGCUGGAUACAAUGUCUCAUACCUG